GAUGAACGCUGGCGGCGUGCCUAAUACAUGCAAGUCGAGCGAACGGACGAGAAGCUUGCUUCUCUGAUGUUAGCGGCGGACGGGUGAGUAACACGUGGAUAACCUACCUAUAAGACUGGGAUAACUUCGGGAAACCGUAGCUAAUACCGGAUAAUAUUUUGAACCGCAGGGUUCAAAAGUGAAAGACGGUCUUGCUGUCACUUAUAGAGGGAUCCGCGCUGCAUUAGCUAGUUGGUAAGGUAACGGCUUACCAAGGCAACGAUGCAUAGCCGACCUGAGAGGAUGAUCGGCCACACUGGAACUGAGACACGGUCCAGACUCCUACGGGAGGCAGCAGUAGGGAAUCUUGCGCAAUGGGCGAAAGCCUGACCGAGCAACGCCGCGUGAGUGAUGAAGGUCUUCGGAUCGUAAAACUCUGUUAUUAGGGAAGAACAUAUGUGUAAGUAACUGUGCAUAUCUUGACGGUACCUAAUCAGAAAGCCACGGCUAACUACGUG
rnacentral:rRNA from 1 species